rnacentral:rRNA from 1 species
AGCAGCCGCGGUAAUUCCAGCUCCAAUAGCGUAUAUUAAAGUUGUUGCAGUUAAAAAGCUCGUAGUUGAAUUUCGGGGUUAGUAGGUCGGUCGUGCCACAGGUAUGUACUGGUCUCACUGAUUCCUCCUUCCUGAUGAACCGUAAUGCCAUUAAUUUGGUGUUGCGGGGAAACUGGACUGUUACUUUGAAAAAAUUAGAGUGUUUAAAGCAGGCUAACGCUUGAAUACAUUAGCAUGGAAUAAUGAAAUAGGACGUUCGAUCCUAUUUUGUUGGUUUCUAGGAUUGACGUAAUGAUUAAUAGGGAUAGUUGGGGGCAUUAGUAUUCAAUUGUCAGAGGUGAAAUUCUUGGAUUUAUUGAAGACUAACUACUGCGAAAGCAUUUGCCAAGGAUGUUUUCAUUAAUCAAGAACGAAAGUUAGGGGAUCGAAGACGAUCAGAUACCGUCGUAGUCUUAACCAUAAACUAUGCCGACUAGGGAUCGGAUGAUGUUAAUUUUUUAAUGACUCA